rnacentral:rRNA from 1 species
CAGCCGCCGCGGGAAUACAGAGGGUGCGAGCGUUAAUCGGAUUUACUGGGCGUAAAGCGUGCGUAGGCGGCUUCUUAAGUCGGAUGUGAAAUCCCUGAGCUUAACUUAGGAAUUGCAUUCUAUACUGGGAAGCUAGAGUAUGGGAGAGGAUGGUAGAAUUCCAGGUGUAGCGGUGAAAUGCGUAGAGAUCUGGAGGAAUACCGAUGGCGAAGGCAGCCAUCUGGCCUAAUACUGACGCUGAGGUACGAAAGCAUGGGGAGCAAACAGGAUUAGAUACCCCAGUAGUCCCUGUCUCUUAUAC